GAUGAACGCUGGCGGCGUGCCUAAUACAUGCAAGUCGAGCGAACAGACGAGGAGCUUGCUCCUCUGACGUUAGCGGCGGACGGGUGAGUAACACGUGGAUAACCUACCUAUAAGACUGGGAUAACUUCGGGAAACCGGAGCUAAUACCGGAUAAUAUAUUGAACCGCAUGGUUCAAUAGUGAAAGACGGUUUUGCUGUCACUUAUAGAUGUAUCCGCGCCGCAUUAGCUAGUUGGUAAGGUAACGGCUUACCAAGGCAACGAUGCGUAGCCGACCUGAGAGGGUGAUCGGCCACACUGGAACUGAAACACGGUCCAGACUCCUACGGGAGGAAGCAGUAGGGAAUCUUCCGCAAUGGGCGAAAGCCUGACGGAGCAACGCCGCGUGAGUGAUGAAGGUCUUCGGAUCGUAAAACUCUGUUAUUAGGGAAGAACAAAUGUGUAAGUAACUAUGCACGUAUUGACGGUACCUAAUCAGAAAGCCACGGCUAACUACGUG
rnacentral:rRNA from 1 species